GCAUCAUUGGUCUAGUGGUAGAAUCCAUCGUUGCCAUGACUUCGAGAGUCACCGAAUCUCGAUGGGGCCCGUGUUCGAUUCACGGAUGAUGCA
rnacentral:tRNA from 1 species